UACAGAGGGGGCAAGCGUUGUUCGGAAUUACUGGGCGUAAAGGGCGCGUAGGCGGCCCACUAAGUCGAACGUGAAAUCCCCGAGCUCAACUCGGGAACUGCGUCCGAUACUGGUGGGCUUGAAUCCGGGAGAGGGAUGCGGAAUUCCAGGUGUAGCGGUGAAAUGCGUAGAUAUCGUUUGGAACGCCAAUGGUGAAAACAGGUAGCUGGGGGUGUGCUGACACUGAGACACGAAAGCCAGGGGAGCGAACGGG
rnacentral:rRNA from 1 species